UAAAUCAUGAAAAAACAAGUGAAACUGCGAGCUACUGCUCACUGAUGAUACCCCCGCCGCAAGUGGAUAAUAUUAAUAGUGUAAAAAUAUGCAAGUGUUCGGUAAACAGGAAGUUGUCGAGUGAUGAAUCUGAAAAUGCAUCACACGGUAUAGCUGACUUAUAAAAAUCCUGAAACCAAAUUUCAGAAAUCCUUGUAUUGUAGUUCCUGAGAAAAAUGUGACGAAAAUUUUUUACUUGGUUAUCAUGUGUAAAAUCAUACAAGUGUUCGGUAAACAGGAAGUUGUCGAGUGAUGAAUCUGAAAACGCAUCACACGGUAUAGUUGAGUUAUAUAAAUCCUGAAACCAAAUUUCAGAAAUCCUUGUAUUGUAGUUCCUGAGAAAAAUGUGACGAAAAUUUUCAACUUGGCUAUCAUGUGUAAAAUCAUACAAGUGUUCGGUAAACAGGAAGUUGUCAAGUGAUGAAUCUGAAAACGCAUCACACGGUAUAGCUGACUUAUAUAAAUCCUGAAACCAAAUUUCAGAAAUCCUUGUAUUGUAGUUCCUGAGAAAAAUGUGACGAAAAAUUUUCAACUUGGCUAUCAUGUGUAAAAUCAGACAAGUGUUCGGUAAACAGGAAGUUGUCAAGUGAUGAAUCUGAAAACGCAUCACACGGUAUGGCUGACAUAUAUAAAUGUUGAUACCAAAUUACAGAAAGGGUGGAUGUGUAGUUCCUGAGAAAAAUGUGACGAAAGUUUCAUGGGACGGACUGACUGACGGACUGACGGACUGACGGACUGACGGACUGAUGGACGGACGGACGGACGGACUGACAGACAGAGGUAAAACAGUAUACCCCCCCUUUUUUUAAAGCGGGGGUAUAAAAAAAAUC
rnacentral:lncRNA from 1 species